rnacentral:rRNA from 1 species
CAGUGAGGAAUUUUCUGCAAUGGGCGAAAGCCUGACAGAGCAACGCCGCGUGAGGGAAGAAGGCCUUCGGGUUGUAAACCUCUUUUCUCAAGGAGGAAGAUCUGACGUUACUUGAGGAAUAAGCAUCGGCUAACCCUGUGCCAGCAGCCGCGGUAAUACAGGGGAUGCAAGUGUUAUCCGGAAUUAUUGGGCGUAAAGGGUCUCUAGGUUGAAAUUUAAGUCUUUUGUUAAAUAUCAGGGCUUAACCCUGACUCUGCAAAAGAAACUAGGUUUCUAGAGUAUGGUAGAGGUUAAGGGAAUUUCCAGUGGAGCGGUGAAAUGCGUAGAUAUUGGAAGGAACACCAAAAGCGAAGGCACUUAACUGGGCCAUUACUGACACUGACAGACGAAAGCUAGGGGAGCAAACGAGAUUAGAUACCC